GUUUCUGUAGUGUAGUGGUUAUCACAUUUGCCUCACACGCGAAAGGUCCCUGGUUUGAUCCCAGGCAGAAACA